GACAGAGGGUGCAAACGUUGCUCGGAAUUACUGGGCGUAAAGCGCGUGUAGGCGGGGAUAUAAGUCGGUUGUGAAAUCCCUGGGCUCAACCUAGGAACUGCAUCCGAAACUGUAUUUCUAGAGUGAUGGAGAGGAGAGCGGAAUUCCCGGUGUAGAGGUGAAAUUCGUAGAUAUCGGGAGGAACAUCAGUGGCGAAGGCGGCUCUCUGGACAUCAACUGACGCUGAGACGCGAAAGCGUGGGUAGCAAACAGG
rnacentral:rRNA from 1 species